AGAGUUGCUUAAGUGCUGCCAACUUUAGUUUUGAUAAAAGGAAACGUCUAGUAGUUGGGGGGACGAGAAUUGCACUAAAUGUACAGUUAACGGAAAAUUUCAAAGGGCCAUAACUGUGUGAAAAAUCAUCCGACCAGAACCGGCCUCUCUGGUCACCAGAGAUAGUCAGAGAAAGUUUAGACACUGGACCAAUUAGAUCAACCCCUUGAGAUGGAGCUAGAUCAACCCCUUGUGAUCCGGUGAAGCAGAAAAUGUGCUCCUGCGAGGGGAAUUGACUUGUCAGUUGGGAAAUAUGUUGCAGCAAAAAAAACUACAG